rnacentral:misc_RNA from 1 species
AACAAGGCGUACCUGCGGACCUGCGGAAGGAUCAUUACAAGUGACCCCGGUCUAACCACCGGGAUGUUCAUAACCCUUUGUUGUCCGACUCUGUUGCCUCCGGGGCGACCCUGCCUUCGGGCGGGGGCUCCGGGUGGACACUUCAAACUCUUGCGUAACUCUGCAGUCUGAGUAAACUUAAUUAAUAAAUUAAAACUUUCAACAACGGAUCU